GAUGUUGGGUUAAGUCCCGCAACGAGCGCAACCCUUGAUCUUAGUUGCCAGCAUUCAGUUGGGCACUCUAAGGUGACUGCCGGUGACAAACCGGAGGAAGGUGGGGAUGACGUCAAAUCAUCAUGCCCCUUAUGACCUGGGCUACACACGUGCUACAAUGGAUGGUACAAAGGGCUGCAAGACCGCGAGGUCAAGCCAAUCCCAUAAAACCAUUCUCAGUUCGGAUUGCAGGCUGCAACUCGCCUGCAUGAAGCCGGAAUCGCUAGUAAUCGCGGAUCAGCAUGCCGCGGUGAAUACGUUCCCGGGCCUUGUACACACCGCCCGUCACACCACGAGAGUUUGUAACACCCGAAGUCGGUGGGGUAACCGUAAGGAGCCAGCCGCCUAAGGUGGGACAGAUGAUUGGGGUGAAGUCGUAACAAGGUAGCCGUAUCGGAAGGUGCGGCUGGAUCACCUCCUUU
rnacentral:ncRNA from 1 species